ensembl:lncRNA
AAUUUUACAUUUUCAGCUGUUAACUCAAUGAAAUGUUCUAGUAUUUAAGUAAGACCAGCUGCGUCGUCUGAUAAACUGAGAAGGUGUUAAGCGAUAUCGUUGGUCUUGCAUCAAUUUAUGUUAAUUGGGAACAACACGCUUUGUAUUUAUACCCAACUAAAAGAGUCGCGAAACAUGCGUUGGUGCAGCUCCCUGUUUAUGAACGAAAUUUCCAAAAUGAGGCAUAAACCAAACAGGGAUGUUUUACUUUUGUGUCUUGGCUUUCUUUGUUUCAGCCAAAUAUGCUGUGUAAGCCUUGGAAUCAUGCGAAGACAAGAGAGACACAGAGAGGAAAAAACAGAUGAUGUUAGAGUGGGGACCAUUAUGUUCGGCAGAGGAGAUAUUCCUGGCCCAGUGAAAGGUGAAGGAACUCGACACAUUGGCGAGGACACUGCAGAGGAUGGCUAUAACAUUCAAGCCGACGCUGGUGGGUUGGUGGAUGGACAAGAUGUCAUUGAUGACUCCAGUUCUUCUAAGGCAGCCUGGGCUAGUAUGCGACCAACUGUGUUAUGUACUAAGGACCUCAUGAAGUUCUCGGCACAAGGCCCAGGAUCCUCUUCACUUCAGCUAGACAGAGCAGGAGGAAAACCCCUUUCGCUAAACCAGCUGCCGCAGGACUGCGGUUACUCUGUGUACAGGACUGAACUGGGCCUUCUGUUUCUCAUCCAAUAUGAUGGUUGUGAUGUUAUAAAUCAGGGUGGCAACCAUUUGCUCCAGAUGUUAUGGCAAAGCAAUCCAGUAACCCUUUGUUGCCCUAUGUCAAGCCAAGCCUCACAAUCUCCUAUGGAUCCACCACUUCAGCCUACUCCUGCUCCAACAGAAGCAACUUCAUCCACUGCCUCUAUGCUUCCUCCACAAAAUCAGCAACAGUUGAUGCAGCAGCAACAGUUGAAGCAGUCUUACUUCAUGCACCCAGGAUACUCUAACCCUUUCAUGCCAGUGAAGGAUCCCUCCCAAACUACAGAAGCAGCUUCAUCCACUGCCUCUAUGCUUCCUCCACAAAAUCAGCAACAGUUGAUGCAGCAGCAACAGUUGAAGCAGUCUUACGUCAUGCACCCAGGAUACUCUAACCCUUUCAUGCCAGUGAAGGAUCCCUCCCCAACUACUGAAGCUCCAACUACUGCAGCUCCAACUACUACAGAAGCAACUUCAUCCACUGCAUCUAAGCUUCCUCCACAAAAUCAGCAGCAGCAACAGUUGAUGAAGCCGCAACAGUUGAUGCAGUCUUACUUCAUGCACCCAGGAUACUCUAACCCUUUCAUGCCAGUGAAGGAUCCCUCCCAAACUGCAGAAGCAGCUUCAUCCACUGCCUCUAUGCUUCCUCCACAAAAUCAGCAACAGUUGAUGCAGCAGCAACAGUUGAAGCAGUCUUACUUCAUGCACCCAGGAUACUCUAACCCUUUCAUGCCAGUGAAGGAUCCCUCCCAAACUACUGAAGCUCCAACUACUGCAGCUCCAACUACUACAGAAGCAACUUCAUCCACUGCAUCUAAGCUUCCUCCACAAAAUCAGCAGCAGCAACAGUUGAUGAAGCAGCAACAGUUGAUGCAGUCUUACUUCAUGCACCCAGGAUACUCUAACCCUUUCAUGCCAGUGAAGGAUCCCUCCCAAACUACAGAAGCAGCUUCAUCCACUGCCUCUAUGCUUCCUCCACAAAAUCAGCAACAGUUGAUGCAGCAGCAACAGUUGAAGCAGUCGUACUUCAUGCACCCAGGAUACUCUAACCCUUUCAUGCCAGUGAAGGAUCCCUCCCAAACUACUGAAGCUCCAACUACUGCAGCUGCAACUACUACAGAAGCAACUUCAUCCACUGCCUCAAAGCUUCCUCCAGUGAAGGAUCCCUCCCCAACUACUGAAGCUCCAACUACUGCAGCUCCAACUACUACAGAAGCAACUUCAUCCACUGCCUCUAAGCUUCCUCCACAAAAUCAGCAGCAGCAACAGUUGAUGAAGCAGCAACAGUUGAUGCAGUCUUACUUCAUGCACCCAGGAUACUCUAACCCUUUCAUGCCAGUGAAGGAUCCCUCCCAAACUGCAGAAGCAGCUUUAUCCACUGCCUCUAUGCUUCCUCCACAAAAUCAGCAACAGUUGAUGCAGCAGCAACAGUUGAAGCAGUCUUACUUCAUGCACCCAGGAUACUCUAACCCUUUCAUGCCAGUGAAGGAUCCCUCCCAAACUACUGAAGCUCCAACUACUGCAGCUCCAACUACUACAGAAGCAACUUCAUCCACUGCCUCUAAGCUUCCUCCACAAAAUCAGCAGCAGCAACAGUUGAAGCAGCAACAGUUUAUGCAGUCUUACUUCAUGCACCCAGGAUACUCUAACCCUUUCAUGCCAGUGAAGGAUCCCUCCCAAACUACAGAAGCAACUUCAUCCACUGCCUCUAUGCUUCCUCCACAAAAUCAGCAACAGUUGAUGCAGCAGCAACAGUUGAAGCAGUCUUACUUCAUGCACCCAGGAUACUCUAACCCUUUCAUGCCAGUGAAGGAUCCCUCCCAAACUACUGAAGCUCCAACUACUGCAGCUCCAACUACUACAGAAGCAACUUCAUCCACUGCCUCUAAGCUUCCUCCACAAAAUCAGCAGCAGCAACAGUUGACGAAGCAGCAACAGUUGAUGCAGUCUUACUUCAUGCACCCAGGAUACUCUAACCCUUUCAUGCCAGUGAAGGAUCCCUCCCAAACUACAGAAGCAACUUCAUCCACUGCCUCUAUGCUUCCUCCACAAAAUCAGCAACAGUUGAUGCAGCAGCAACAGUUGAAGCAGUCGUACUUCAUGCACCCAGGAUACUCUAACCCUUUCAUGCCAGUGAAGGAUCCCUCCCAAACCACUGAAGCUCCAACUACUGCAGCUCCAACUACUACAGAAGCAACUUCAUCCACUGCCUCUAAGCUUCCUCCACAAAAUCAGCAGCAGCAACAGUUGAAGCAGCAACAGUUUAUGCAGUCUUACUUCAUGCACCCAGGAUACUCUAACCCUUUCAUGCCAGUGAAGGAUCCCUCCCAAACUACAGAAGCAACUUCAUCCACUGCCUCUAUGCUUCCUCCACAAAAUCAGCAACAGUUGAUGCAGCAGCAACAGUUGAAGCGGUCUUACUUCAUGCACCCAGGAUACUCUAACCCUUUCAUGCCAGUGAAGGAUCCCUCCCAAACUACUGAAGCUCCAACUACUGCAGCUGCAACUACUACAGAAGCAACUUCAUCCACUGCCUCAAAGCUUCCUCCAGUGAAGGAUCCCUCCCCAACUACUGAAGCUCCAACUACUGCAGCUCCAACUACUACAGAAGCAACUUCAUCCACUGCCUCUAAGCUUCCUCCACAAAAUCAGCAGCAGCAACAGUUGAUGAAGCAGCAACAGUUGAUGCAGUCUUACUUCAUGCACCCAGGAUACUCUAACCCUUUCAUGCCAGUGAAGGAUCCCUCCCAAACUGCAGAAGCAGCUUUAUCCACUGCCUCUAUGCUUCCUCCACAAAAUCAGCAACAGUUGAUGCAGCAGCAACAGUUGAAGCAGUCUUACUUCAUGCACCCAGGAUACUCUAACCCUUUCAUGCCAGUGAAGGAUCCCUCCCAAACUACUGAAGCUCCAACUACUGCAGCUCCAACUACUACAGAAGCAACUUCAUCCACUGCCUCUAAGCUUCCUCCACAAAAUCAGCAGCAGCAACAGUUGAUGAAGCAGCAGCAGUUGAUGCAGUCUUACUUCAUGCACCCAGGAUACUCUAACCCUUUCAUGCCAGGGAAGGAUCCCUCCCAAACUACAGAAGCAGCUUCAUCCACUGCCUCUAUGCUUCCUCCACAAAAUCAGCAACAGUUGAUGCAGCAGCAACAGUUGAAGCAGUCUUACUUCAUGCACCCAGGAUACUCUAACCCUUUCAUGCCAGUGAAGGAUCCCUCCCAAACUACUGAAGCUCCAACUACUGCAGCUCCAACUACUACAGAAGCAACUUCAUCCACUGCCUCUAAGCUUCCUCCACAAAAUCAGCAGCAGCAACAGUUGACGAAGCAGCAACAGUUGAUGCAGUCUUACUUCAUGCACCCAGGAUACUCUAACCCUUUCAUGCCAGUGAAGGAUCCCUCCCAAACUACAGAAGCAACUUCAUCCACUGCCUCUAUGCUUCCUCCACAAAAUCAGCAACAGUUGAUGCAGCAGCAACAGUUGAAGCAGUCGUACUUCAUGCACCCAGGAUACUCUAACCCUUUCAUGCCAGUGAAGGAUCCCUCCCAAACCACUGAAGCUCCAACUACUGCAGCUCCAACUACUACAGAAGCAACUUCAUCCACUGCCUCUAAGCUUCCUCCACAAAAUCAGCAGCAGCAACAGUUGAAGCAGCAACAGUUUAUGCAGUCUUACUUCAUGCACCCAGGAUACUCUAACCCUUUCAUGCCAGUGAAGGAUCCCUCCCAAACUACAGAAGCAACUUCAUCCACUGCCUCUAUGCUUCCUCCACAAAAUCAGCAACAGUUGAUGCAGCAGCAACAGUUGAAGCAGUCUUACUUCAUGCACCCAGGAUACUCUAACCCUUUCAUGCCAGUGAAGGAUCCCUCCCAAACCACUGAAGCUCCAACUACUACAGAAGCAACUUCAUCCACUGCCUGUAAGCUUCCUGCUCCAACUACAGGAGCAACUUCAUCCACUGCCUGUAAGCUUCCUCCUCAAAAUCAGCAGCAGCAACAGUUCAUGCAGCAUCAACAGUUGAAUAACCCCAACUUCAUGCACCCAGGAUACUCUAACCCUUGCAUGCCAGUGAAGGAUCCCUCCCAAACUACUGAAGCUCCAACUACAGGAGCAACUUCCACUGCCUGUAAGCUUCCUCCUCAAAAUCUGCAGCAGCAACAGUUGACACUUGAUUUAGCAUCAACAGUUGAAUAACCCCAACUUCAUGCACCCAGGAUACUCUAACCCUUUCAUGCCAGUGAAGGAUCCCUCCCAAACUACUGAAGCUCCAACUACUACCCGUUAGUCCCACAAGACAUGCUGGCUAUGUCCCUUUUAAUAAAUGUCUCCAGACCAAGAGUAAUUGAGGAGAC